rnacentral:rRNA from 1 species
UGGGGAAUAUUGGACAAUGGACCAAGAGUCUGAUCCAGCAAUUCUGUGUGCACGAUGAAGUUUUUCGGAAUGUAAAGUGCUUUCAGUUGGGAAGAAAAAAAUGACGGUACCAACAGAAGAAGUGACGGCUAAAUACGUGCCAGCAGCCGCGGUAAUACGUAUGUCACGAGCGUUAUCCGGAUUUAUUGGGCGUAAAGCGCGUCUAGGUGGUUAUGUAAGUCUGAUGUGAAAAUGCAGGGCUCAACUCUGUAUUGCGUUGGAAACUGUAUAACUAGAGUACUGGAGAGGUAAGCGGAACUACAAGUGUAGAGGUGAAAUUCGUAGAUAUUUGUAGGAAUGCCGAUGGGGAAGCCAGCUUACUGGACAGAUACUGACGCUGAAGCGCGAAAGCGUGGGUAGCAAACAGGAUUAGAUACCCUGGUAGUCCACGCCGUAAACGAUGAUUACUAGGUGUUGGGGGUCGAACCUCAGCGCCCAAGCAAACGCGAUAAGUAAUCCGCCUGGGGAGUACGUACGCAAGUAU